AUUGAAUGCUGGCGGCAUGCCUUACACAUGCAAGUCGAACGGUAACGGGCCUUCGGGUGCCGACGAGUGGCGAACGGGUGAGUAAUACAUCGGAACGUGCCCGAUCGUGGGGGAUAACGAGGCGAAAGCUUUGCUAAUACCGCAUACGAUCUACGGAUGAAAGCAGGGGACCGCAAGGCCUUGCGCGGACGGAGCGGCCGAUGGCAGAUUAGGUAGUUGGUGGGAUAAAAGCUUACCAAGCCGACGAUCUGUAGCUGGUCUGAGAGGAUGAUCAGCCACACUGGGACUGAGACACGGCCCAGACUCCUACGGGAGGCAGCAGUGGGGAAUUUUGGACAAUGGGCGCAAGCCUGAUCCAGCCAUGCCGCGUGCAGGAUGAAGGCCUUCGGGUUGUAAACUGCUUUUGUACGGAACGAAAAGCCUUCUUUUAAUACAGGAGGGUCAUGACGGUACCGUAAGAAUAAGCACCGGCUAACUACGUG
rnacentral:rRNA from 1 species